UUCUACUUGCUGCACCUGCUUGUUCUGCCGUCACCUGUGCUUCCCCUGCACCCCUCUCCCCUGUACACCAGCUACCUCGUUGUAAUCUUCUCCCUUAUUUUUCCUUAUAGCCACCAUAACUAGAUACAACUCUUGUAUCUUUUUUUUUUUAAAUAUAGAACUUUAAUGUCUUAAAACAGACAUUGUGCAAUCGUGUAAUUACAGUCCACUUGCAAUAAUUACAACUCACUCUAAGUGGUGUCCCCCUUCACACUUCUUCAUUAGUGUGGUUACGAUCAUACUGAAUGCCCUUUGUAUCAGUAUCAUCUAUGUUUUAGAACGCUGUUAAUUGGACCGAAGUAAUGUAAUGCAUUGACAAUGAGUUUGUCAGUCUAUGCAUUUUUUAAGUUUUAUAUAAAUUUCACAUAGAUUUUUUCACAUCCUAUUUUGACAUCCUAAGCAAUGCAUGCAAGUUGUCUCUUGAAAUGCUAACUGUAUUA